UACGUAGGGAGCAAGCGUUGUCCGGAAUCAUUGGGCGUAAAGCGCGCGUAGGUGGCCACAUAAGUCCGUUGUGAAAGUCAAAGGCUCAACCUUUGAAAGCCGAUGGAUACUGUGUGGCUAGAGUACGGAAGAGGCGAGUGGGAUUCCUGGUGUAGCGGUGAAAUGCGUAGAUAUCAAGAGGAACACCUGAGGUGAAGACGGGUUGCUGGGCCAACACUGACGCUGAGGCGCGAAAGCCAGGGGAGCAAACGGG
rnacentral:rRNA from 1 species